AGGACGAACGCUGGCGGCGUGCUUAACACAUGCAAGUCGAGCGGAAAGGCCCUUCGGGGUACUCGAGCGGCGAACGGGUGAGUAACACGUGAGUAAUCUGCCCAUCGCUUCAGGAUAGCCAUCGGAAACGGUGAUUAAUACUGGAUAUGACAUUCCUUCGCAUGUUGGGGUGUGGAAAGUUUUUUCGGCGGUGGAUGUGCUCGCGGCCUAUCAGCUUGUUGGUGGGUAAUGGCCUACCAAGGCUUUGACGGGUAGCCGGCCUGAGAGGGUGACCGGCCACACUGGGACUGAGACACGGCCCAGACUCCGUACGGGAGCAGCGAGGUGGGAAUAUUGGCAACGAAGUGGGCGACAAGCCUGAUGCAGCAACGCCGCGUGGACGGGACGACGGCCGUUCGGGUUACGUUAAACCUCGUUUUAGUAGGAAGAGACGAAAGU
rnacentral:rRNA from 1 species